AGAAAACUGAUACCUAAAUAUACUUUUCAUUUUUCAUUAAUACAAGUUUAAAUUAUAUAUAGCAUUAUAUAGUUUGUGAAAAUAUACUUGUUCAAAAUAGAAGGACAUAGUUCCACACAUAUAUGCCAUGCUUAGGAAGAUUGCACAUAUACUUGUUCAAAAUAUACUUGUUCAUUUUUUUUCUCUGCAGAGGCACCCGCACCACAGCUCGACGGCAAGUCUCGCAACGAUACUUUCGAUCUUGACUUUGAAGAAUGACUUCAAGCAGUUAGAAGAUUUCAGUUCAAUU